GAGUGGCGGACGGGUGAGUAACGCGUGGGUAACCUGCCUCAUACAGGGGGAUAACAGUUGGAAACGACUGCUAAUACCGCAUAAGCGCACAGGGUCGCAUGACCUGGUGUGAAAAACUCCGGUGGUAUGAGAUGGACCCGCGUCUGAUUAGCCAGUUGGUGGGGUAACGGCCUACCAAAGCAACGAUCAGUAGCCGACCUGAGAGGGUGACCGGCCACAUUGGGACUGAGACACGGCCCAAACUCCUACGGGAGGCAGCAGUGGGGAAUAUUGCACAAUGGGGGAAACCCUGAUGCAGCGACGCCGCGUGGAGGAAGAAGGUCUUCGGAUUGUAAACUCCUGUUGUUGGGGAAGAUAAUGACGGUACCCAACAAGGAAGUGACGGCUAACUACGUGCCAGCAGCCGCGGUAAAACGUAGGUCACAAGCGUUGUCCGGAAUUACUGGGUGUAAAGGGAGCGCAGGCGGGAAGACAAGUUGGAAGUGAAAUCUAUGGGCUCAACCCAUAAACUGCUUUCAAAACUGUUUUUCUUGAGUAGUGCAGAGGUAGGCGGAAUUCCCGGUGUAGCGGUGGAAUGCGUAGAUAUCGGGAGGAACACCAGUGGCGAAGGCGGCCUACUGGGCACCAACUGACGCUAAGGCUCGAAAGUGUGGGUAGCAAACAAGAAUUAGAUACCCUGGUAGUCCACACCGUAAACGAUGAUUACUAGGUGUGGGAGGAUUGCCCCCUUCAGUGCCGCAGUUAACACAAUAAGUAAUCCCACCUGGGGAGUACGACCGCAAGGUUGAAACUCAAAGGAAUUGACGGGGGCCCGCACAAAGCAGUGGAGUAUGUGGUUUAAUUCGACGCAACGCGAAGAACCUUACCAAGUCUUGACAUCCCUUGACAGGCAUAGAAAUAUGUUUUCUCUUCGGAGCAAGGAGACAGGUGGUGCAUGGUUGUCGUCAGCUCGUGUCGUGAGAUGUUGGGUUAAGUCCCGCAACGAGCGCAACCCUUAUGGUCAGUUACUACGUAAGAGGACUCUGGCCAGACUGCCGUUGACAAAACGGAGGAAGGUGGGGAUGACGUCAAAUCAUCAUGCCCUUUAUGACUUGGGCUACACACGUACUACAAUGGCGUUAAACAAAGAGAAGCAAGACCGCGAGGUGGAGCAAAACUCAGAAACAACGUCCCAGUUCGGACUGCAGGCUGCAACUCGCCUGCACGAAGUCGGAAUUGCUAGUAAUCGUGGAUCAGCAUGCCACGGUGAAUACGUUCCCGGGCCUUGUACACACCGCCCGUCA
rnacentral:rRNA from 1 species